rnacentral:lncRNA from 1 species
UUUUCUGAGACAAAGGAUCCACUCCACACCUAACCACACCUAAAGAAAUGCUUUGAAGGAGGAAUUGCCAAGCUCACUUUUAAUCAUGAGAAAGAAAUUACCCACAUGGAGUCAGCAGAAAAUGAAAAAGUAGAGCUCGUGCUGUGAAUAAUUCCAGCAAGUGCCAAGGGGCUAGUUGAGAAAUGGCUUCAUGAGG